GACGAACGCUGGCGGCGUGCCUAACACAUGCAAGUCGAACGGUGAACCUCUUCGGAGGGGCUCAGUGGCGAACGGGUGAGUAACACGUUGGCAACCUGCCCCCGGCCCUGGGAUAACUCCAAGAAAUUGGGGCUAAUACCGGAUGUUCACCGCUUCCCGCAUGGGUGGUGGUGAAAAGGGUUUCCGGCUGGGUUUGGGCCCGCGGUCUAUGAGCUUGUUGGUGAGGUAGUGGCCUACAAAGGCGACGACGGGUAGCCGGCCUGGGAGGGUGACCGGCCACAGUGGGACUGGGAAGCGGGCCGGACUGAAACGGCAGGAAUCGGUGGAGAAUUUAGCGCAAUAGGCGGAGGCAUGACGCAAGGCCGCCGCGUGGGGGAUGACGGCUUUCGGGUUGUAAACCUCUUUCAGCAGGGACGAAGCGAAAGUGACGGUACCUGCAGAAGAAGCACCGGCCAACUACGUG
rnacentral:rRNA from 1 species